AUUGAACGCUGGCGGCAGGCCUAACACAUGCAAGUCGAGCGAGCGGCGGACGGGUGAGUAAUGUAUGGGGACUGCCCGAUAGAGGGGGAUAACUACUGGAAACGGUGGCUAAUACCGCAUCCUAUCGGAUAACCCAUAUGGGAUUAGCCAGUAGGCGGGGUAAAGCCUCACCUAGGCGACGAUCUCUAGCUGGUCUGAGCGGUUGAUCAGCCACACAGGGACCGGGACACGGCCCAAACUCCUGCGGAAACAACAGUAGGGAAAAUUGAAAAAUGGGCAGGAGCAUAAUGAAGCCAUGCCGCGUGUAUAAAGAAGGCCUUCUGGUUGUAAAGUACUUUCAGUGGAGAGGCGUUACCCGCAGGAGAAGCACCGACUAACUCCGUGACAGCAGCCGCGGUAAUCC
rnacentral:rRNA from 1 species